UGGACUAAAGGUCUUUUAAAAAACACACCUCACCAAGCUCAGCCACCAACUUAAAAAGGACUGGACAAUACUUUUACCACUUUCCCUUCUCAGAAUUCAGGCCUGUCCUCAGAAUGCUACAGGGCUAUACAGCCCAUUUAAGGUCCUGUAUAGACGCUCCUUUUUAUUAGGCCCCAGUCUCAUUCCAGACACCAGACCAACUUAGACUGUGCCUCAAAAAAAACAAAAACUUGUCAUCCCUACUAUUUUCUGUCUAGUCAUACUCCUAUUCACCGUUCUCAACUACUGACACAUGCCCUGCUCUUGUUUACACUGCCAGUUUACACUGUUUUUCCAAGCCAUCACAGCUGAUAUCUCCUGGUGCUAUCCCCAAACUGCCACUCUUAACUCUUGAAGUAAAUAAAUAAUCUUUGCUGGCAAGACUAUGCCAAAUCUCCUUAAGCACUCUCUAAUCAGACGUCCUGAGUCGUCCCAAUUCUUAGACCUUUUAUACCUGUUUUUCUUCUGUUAUUCCAUAUAGUUUCUCAAUUCAUCCAAAACCGUAUCUAGGCCAUCACCAAUCAUUCUACACGACAAAUGUUUCUUCUAACAUCCCCACAAUAUCACCCCUUACCACAAGACCUUCCUUCAGCUUAAUCUCUCCCACUCUAGGUUCCCACGCCGCCCCUAAUCCCGCUUGAAGCAGCCCUGAGAAACAUCGCCCAUUCUCUCUCCAUACCAGCCCCCCCAAAAAUUUUCACCACCCCAACACUUCAACACUGUUUUGUUUUAUUCUUCUUAUUAAUAUAAGAAGGCAGGAAUGUCAGGCCUCUGAGCCCAAGCCAAGCCAUCGCAUCCCCUGUGACUUGCACAUAUACGCCCAGAUGGCCUGAAGUAACUGAAGAAUCACAAAAGAAGUGAAUAUGCCUUGCCUCACCUUAACUGAUGACAUUCCACCACAAAAGAAGUGUAAAUGGCUGGUCCUUGCCUUAACUGAUGACAUUACCUUGUGAAAGUCCUUUUCCUAGCUCAUCCUGGUUCAAAAAUCACCCCUACUGAACACCUUGCGACCCCCACUCCUACCCGCCAGAGAACAAACCCCCUUUGACUGUAAUUUUCCUUUACCUACCCAAAUCCUAUAAAACGGCCCCACCCUUAUCUCUCUUCGCUGACUCUCUUUUCGGACUCAGCCCACCUGCACCCAGGUGAAAUAAACAGCUUUAUUGCUCACACAAAGCCUGUUUGGUGGUCUCUUCCCACAGACACGCAUGAAAGUUACCAAAUAAUAUUAUUUAAUAGUUGUCAAUUUAUACAGCAUACCAUUAAUGUUAAAACCGCUGUUGCAAGAGCAUUUAGACUCUUUUUUCAUAUGCUAUGUGGGAGGAAUGCUUGACUUCUAUUUUCCAUAAAUAUUGUAUAUAUACCUAGACUAAAAUGUCCUGUGUUUUCCACUGACAGCACUGAAUGGCAUCCUGCUAUCUUCAGGCAUCUCCAAUUGAAGUCACUUCAGUUGGCUGGUACAUCAAGGGGCCAGCAGGGGCCACAGCACCAAAUCUUCUCUCACCAUUAUCCCAGAUAAAAAGAGUGUGCUGCCUGUAGCUGCUAGCACACUUUCUUUGAUAAGGGAGCACCCCAUAAGCUGUCCUGGAAAGGAAGGUGUUAGUUAAGUUGUGUUGCAGGUUGGAUUCUCCGGAGGCAGAUGCCUAGAAGUUUAGGGCCCAAGAGGUUUAUUUGGCACCAACACCUGUGGAAGAGAGAAGAAGCAGGAUUGGGCAGUGAAAGAUGUCCAGCAGUGAUAUGGGCAUGACAAAGUCUUGGCCAGAGGCUGUCUCUGUACCACCCACAGUGGGGUAUGUGCAGUGCAGUGACAUGAUGAUAGCUCACUGCAGCCUCAACCUCCCAGGCUCAGGUGAUCCUCCUGCCUCAGCCUCCUCAAGUCCUCCUUUGAAGAGGUAGCUGGACAUCACAUCGUUGUCUACCACGUAGUGUGUCUAGAUAAGGCUGGGAAAAGUGAGGUGGGUUAUCCCUGGGCAUCCUCUGGUUUAACAAGAGUAGGAACUCAGUUGACUGCUCUUGUUUCAUAUACCUUUAGACAAGUCCACAGCAGAAAGUGAAAGCACUGCCAGGUACAGUGACUCAUGCCUGUAUUCCUAGUGUUUAGGGAGACUGAGGUAGGAGGAUCGCUUGAGGCCAGGUGUUUGAGACCAGCCUGGGCAACAUAGCAAGACCCUGUCUCUACAAAAAUUAAAAAAAUUAGCCAGGUGUGGUGGUACACACCUAUAGUGCCAUCUACUCAGCAGGUUGAGGGAGGAGGAUCACUUAACCCGGGAGGCCGAGGCUGCAGUGAGCUAUGAUCACACCAAUGCACUUCAGCCUGGGCAACAGAUUGAGAGCCUGUCUCAAAAAAAAAAAAAAAAAAAAAAGUGAAGGCACCAAGUGGCAAUUGUCACAGGCUGUGGCCUACUCAGGAAGCAGACUUGGAGAUGGAGAGUGGUGGACAGGAGGUUUGCUAGGGAAUGGUCUUGGGAUCACCACCUCUGGAAGGGGAAAGGAAGAAGGAUGGGGCAGGAAGAGAAGUUGGCUGAUGCAUUAGUCAGGGUUCACUAGAGGGAAAGAACUAAUAGGAUAGAUGUAUAUAUGAAGGGGAGUUUAUUAGGAAGAAUCAACUCACAAGAUCACAAGGUGAAGUCCCACAAUAGGCUGUCUGCAAGCUAAGGAGCAAGGAAGCCAGUCUGAGUUCUAAAACCUCAAAAGUAGGGAAGCCGACAAUGUGGCCUUCAGUCUGUGGCCGAAAGCUCGAGAGCCCCUGGCAAACCACUGGUCUAAGUCCAAGAGUCCAAAAGCUGAAGAGCUUGGCGUCUGAUGUUCAAGAGCAGGAAGGAUUCAGCAAGAGAGAAAGAUGGAAGGCCAGAGGACUCAGUAAGUCGACUCUUUCUACCUUUUUCAGCCUGCUUUAUUCUAGCAGCUGAUUAGAUGGUGCCCACCCAGACUGCAGGUGGGUCUGCCUCUCCCAGUCCACUGACUCAAAUGUUAAUCUCCUUUGACAGCACCCUCCCAGACACACCCAGGAACAAUACCUUGCAUCUUUCAAUUCAAUCAAGUUGACACUCAAUCUUAACCAUCACAGCCUAUGAUUCAGCCUCAACAGAGAGCAACCACAUGGCCAGCUCUAGACAAAGUGGGGGCCAGACCUUUAUAUCUCCCUAUAAACCAGUUCUUGGCUGUGGGCACCCUGGGAAGAGGGCAUGGUGGUGGGUGAGAUGACACUCUUCAUUUGAAGCAAUUCCGAUGAGGGCUGACAGCUGGGGAUCUCUGCCAGAAGCCCUCGCUGCAGCUGGUGGAGUAGCCCUUCAGUCUUGAGGAGACUCUGGGAUGACAUCACAGCAUCUGCUCCAGAAGUCUGCUGAACCCAUCCUGGCUAACUGUAAUGCAACUAUUAACCAUAAUACUUUCCUUUAAAAAUCUCAGACAAAUGCUGAAAGAGAUAAGAUACUGAGACAGGAAGUGUAAGCUGAGACUGUCCUAAGUGAAUCAGGAAAAAGUUAUCCUGUCUGUAAUGAAGUUCAGGGAGAAAGAACAACUUACAUUGUACAGCCUUGAAGAUUGUUUUAUCAGCUACUUUGGAAUUCAGUGUUGCGCCUCCUGAUUGAUGUGUCUGCUGAUUUUCCUUCAGAGGCCAGGCUAACAGGGAUUGCUGAUGGGGAAAUAAAGAAAUAAUCAAGGAUGAAUCCUAGAUCUGGGGCUUGAGCAAAUACGUUCAAGUCCUGACACUGGUACCUGUGAAUGUGAUCUUAUCUGGAAAGAGAGACUUUUUGGCCUAUGAGAUGUGGGGGCCCCAAAUCCAAUGACUGGAGUCAUUGGAAGAAGAGGAGAGGAUGCACAGAGAGACACACAAAGAGAAGAGCACCAUGUGUAGAUGGAGGCACAGGUUGGAGCGAUGCAGCUACAAGCCAAGGAACACCAAGGAACUAGAAAGAGACAUUAAGAAUCCUUCCUUAGAGCCUUCAGAGGGUACCUGGCCCUGCUGACACCUUGAUUUUGGACUUCUAGCCUCUAGAAUUAUGAGUGAAUACAUUUCUGUUAUUUUAAGCCACAGAAGUGGUAAUUUGUUAUAGCAAUGCUUGUGAACAAAUACAUAUACCAAUAUGGUUUUAUUAGCUAGUAUACUCUAAUUUUAUAGUCGGUAAUAUCAAGGGAGUAACACAAAGUAUCUGCACUACAGAAGCAGAUGUCUGAUUACUAGGUUCUGCGAUGAAACUUUGUGUUUCAAAAAAUGGAUCCCCUUCAUUCUCCUUGUUUCUGUGUCUGCUGUCCUGAAGCCAGAUGUGUUACCAUGAUGUCUUUAUACUAAUAUACUAACAGCAGUUCUCAAAGCACUGUUCAUGGACACUUUGAGCUCCCUGAGACUCUUCCAGGGGGAGGCCAAAUCUAUUCUCAUACUUUCCCUUUUCACUGUGUUGACAUUUGCAGUGAUAGUGCAGAAGCAACGAUAGGCAAAACUGCUGACACCUUAGGACAAAUGGCAGUACCAGCAAUUGCACUAGUAGACAUCUUAUUCUUCGUCUUCAUGACUGGCAGAAAACAAACAUAAAAAGAAUUUGACUUAAGAAUGACCUUGAUGAAGGAGCAACAUGAUUUAUUAAAUCUUUAUCCUUCAGUACAAGUCUUUUUAAUAUUGUGUGUGAUGUUAUGGAGAGUACAAAUAAAGCACUUCUGUGACAUACAGAAGUACAAAAAAAUAGUACUUGUGUAAUUGAGUUCUAGCUAAACUAGCAGCUUUUCCCAUGAACACCAGUUUUACUUGACAAACAGACUUGGGCUAUUCAGGUUAUUCAGACUUGGGUAUUUGGCAUACAUGUCCCUCCAUGCUCAGAGAUUCUCCUUCAGAGGCAACCAUCUUAGACUCUGUUUUCUUUACUGGGAAUGACAUUUCUUGUAAAAGCUUAAACACAGGUAAGGCCAAGGUAUUUUGCCUAAGGACAGAAAGCAUAAUGUUGUAGAGGUGGGUUCCCUUCCAGCCCAUUACACUUCCCAUUCCACUAAACGAGACAGGUGGUUUUCCACAUUUCAUGCAUCUCCUCCUUGAGACAGUGAAUCAAUGCUGCAAGAGAAAGAAAUGCCAGGUGGAAAAGCUGACAAGUCAGAUAUUACACAGCCACUUAAUUUUUAUUUUG